UUACGGCUAUAUUGCGUUGAAAUACCGGUCCCCGUACGAUCAGCAAAGUUCAGCAACGCCGAGGCUGGUCAGUAUUUAGAUGGGUGACCGCUUGUAAAUAGCAGGUGCUGUGA